rnacentral:rRNA from 1 species
UACAGAGGUCUCAAGCGUUGUUCGGAUUCAUUGGGCGUCAAGGGUUCGUAGGUGGCGCCGUAAGUCGGGUGUGAAAUUUCGGAGCUUAACUCCGAAACUGCAUUCGAUACUGCCGUGCUUGAGGACUGGAGAGGAGACUGGAAUUUACGGUGUAGCGGUGAAAUGCGUAGAUAUCGUAAGGAAGACCAGUGGCGAAGGCGGGUCUCUGGACAGUUCCUGACGCUGAGGCACGAAGGCCAGGGGAGCAAACGGG